UACGAAGCACACGAACGUUAUUCGGAAUUACUGGGCGUAAAGCGUGCGCAGGCGGUUUUUUAAGCCAGAUGUGAAAUCCCCGGGCUUAACCUGGGAAUGGCAUUUGGGACUGCAAGGCUUGAGUGCGGCAGAGGAGACUGGAAUUCCUGGUGUAGCAGUGAAAUGCGUAGAUAUCAGGAGGAACACCGAUGGCGAAGGCAGGUCUCUGGGCUGACACUGACGCUCAUGCACGAAAGCGUGGGGAGCAAACAGG
rnacentral:rRNA from 1 species